AAAUUGAAGAGUUUGAUCAUGGCUCAGAUUGAACGCUGGCGGCAGGCCUAACACAUGCAAGUCGAACGGUAACAGGAAACAGCUUGCUGUUUCGCUGACGAGUGGCGGACGGGUGAGUAAUGUCUGGGAAACUGCCUGAUGGAGGGGGAUAACUACUGGAAACGGUAGCUAAUACCGCAUAACGUCGCAAGACCAAAGAGGGGGACCUUCGGGCCUCUUGCCAUCGGAUGUGCCCAGAUGGGAUUAGCUAGUAGGUGGGGUAACGGCUCACCUAGGCGACGAUCCCUAGCUGGUCUGAGAGGAUGACCAGCCACACUGGAACUGAGACACGGUCCAGACUCCUACGGGAGGCAGCAGUGGGGAAUAUUGCACAAUGGGCGCAAGCCUGA
rnacentral:rRNA from 1 species